AUAGAGCUUUUCACAAAAAUAAACGUCAAAAAUAUUUGAAAAACAUAAUAAAUUAAGAAAAUCUUUGAACAUCACAGCAAGUGUCAAAUUAUGAAGGACACAGAUCACAAAAGUAUCCCAACUAUACAUAGAUUUGGCAAUUUUCAACACGAAGUAAUCACAUUUCAAAUUCAAACUUUUCUCAAUCAAAAUUCAACAACAUUUCAAAUAAAUUUCAUUAUUCUUUUGAAAACAACUGAGAUUGAAGAUGUUUUCAACAAUAAAGUUCAGAAUCAGCGUUCAGAGAAAAUUAUGAAUUCAAAUGGAAAACGAGUUGAUGAUCGAAAAAUCCUAGGGUCCUAAUUUCCGCAACCGUAAUCGAUUUUAUUACGAUCGAGAUAUCCAAAUUUUUGAUGAUGGCAUCUGUUAUCGAAUAAUUCUAUUCGAACCGAAAGGUUCGACUUUUAGCCCGCAGCGCUGUAACUAUCACAAAUUUUAACCAACGCAGAUCCCAUAGUGCUCUGGUGGGAAUCGAUCUUUGACCCCUAAAAUUCCAUUUAGGGGUUGUUGAUGAGCAGCAUUGUCUUUCUUCUGAACUAUAAUCAAACUGGAUUUAUUAAGAAGGUACAGAAAUGCGAGGGCAGAGAAUUCAUGCUGCAAAAUCCCAGAAUUCAUGCUGCAAAAUCCCAAAAUCCCAGAACUCAUAAUGCACGACGCCUCAUCAAUCAUGGAAAACUGUGAGCAAAACCUUCACAUUCGACCGAACUUGGUGCACUUUCUUGAUAUUGGCUAAUGCAGAAGCUUCCAUUGAGAUGAUUAAGCUUUGAUUUCCAGUUUAUAACUAUAAACCCAUGAUUAUUCACCAGUUAUGAUCCUCUGGAGCAGGUAUGAAUCAUCAUGGACACUUUUUUUGGUCGCAUUGCAAAAACAUAAACAAAUAUCGAAAAGAGAUCAAAAUUAGUCCAAACAAAGCAGGUGUCACAAAUUAACGGUCGAUCUUGCCAGCAUAACAAGCCACUCCUUCCUUUAAAAACAAUUUAAUUUCUAAAUACUUUUGAACCAUAUCUAUUGCUUUUGUACUUAGAAAACAGUUCCUUUUUGAAUGAAAAAAAAAAUUAUCUUUUGCAAACAAUCAUUAUAUGUUGUUGUUAUUUACGGUCUGUCUUAAUAUAUAUUAUAUACGCUGAAAAAUAAUCACUGAAAUUGUUGUAAUGACAAGUAUUUCGCUGUCUCAUUUUAACUAAAAAUUAAUUACUAGCAUUUUAGAUGAUUUUUUACUAGAAAUUUUAUAUUUAGUUCUUUACGAGACCACAAUUUUUUCAUAGUCUUCACCACAGUAAAUAUAGUUGCAAUGAAGUUAAAAAAUUGGUAUAAUCUGUAUAUAAAUCCG